GAGUUUGAUCCUGGCUCAGAUUGAACGCUGGCGGCAGGCCUAACACAUGCAAGUCGAGCGGUAGAGAGAAGCUUGCUUCUCUUGAGAGCGGCGGACGGGUGAGUAAUGCCUAGGAAUCUGCCUGGUAGUGGGGGAUAACGCUCGGAAACGGACGCUAAUACCGCAUACCGUCCUACGGGAGAAAGCAGGGGACCUUCGGGCCUUUGCGCUAUCAGAUGAGCCUAGGUCGGAUUAGCUAGUUGGUGAGGUAAUGGACUCACCCAAGGCGACGAUCCGUAACUGGUCUGAGAGGAUGAUCAGUCACACUGGAACUGAGACACGGUCCAGACUCCUACGGGAGGCAGCAGU
rnacentral:rRNA from 1 species